UCCAAUUGGAGGGGUCAAGGACACCACAAAAAGAUCUACAAAGUUAACUCUCCUAGAUCCAUGGGGGCUCAUAAACACUGAACUACCAAAGAGGAUACACAUGUUUGACCUAGGCCCCUACAUCUUUGAAGCAGAUGUGCAUCUUGGUCUUUCUGUGGGUCUCCUAAGAAUUGAAGCUGACGUUGUCUCUGAUUCUGACUCCCCUUACCUAAACUGGAUUGCCUGGUUGGGCCUCAGUGGAAGAAGAAGCAUUAAGUUCUACAACUCCUCUGGAUAUAAAGAAUCAACAAUCCAUGUGGGCUCUUUAUUCUAAGAAUAUUCAAUCAAGAUUAUCUAGUGCUUUUAAGUAGAGAAUUGCUGGAGAAGGAAUUGAGCAAAAAAUUAGGAACCAAAAUCAUGAGGUAAAUAUGACAAUAGAUUUAAAAGUUAAAUAUUAAAAUAAUUAUCUUUUAUCAU